CCGAGGGCGAAUGUUGUGUAAUGUUUUUAUGUAAUGAAUGUGAUGUCAUACAACAGUAUGGGUAAUGUUGUUGAGUUCUGAUUGGCUGCGUUCGCGUCUGACCCCCGAGCAUGCUUAUAUUCCUAAACAAAAAUAUGUAGGCUGGAGUUACUGUAUGCUAUGGACAGUAGGGACAGUCACCACCGUAUGGGUUAUUUCCCCCUGGGUUUAGCAGCUGUCAGUCCAUCCCUUGCCAAGAGGAUGAGCUGAAACAUCUGGAGAAUCCAUGGACCCCCUCCACUGACUCUGUUAUAAUGUGCUAUGAGAUAAGCAGCCAUAUGGAGAAGCACACCCUCAGAAUAACCUCCGCCCACCAGUUUCUCAGAGCUACAGAAGGGUGCGUGGUCACAGGGCAUCACGGUGGGACCUCCGGGCGGACGGACGGCACCAGGGAGUGGCGG